ACCUGGCUGGCUCAGUCAGUAAAGCAUGUGAUUCUUGAUCAUUGGGUUGUGAGUUCAAGCCUCACGCUGGGUG
rnacentral:tRNA from 1 species